rnacentral:rRNA from 1 species
UACGGGGGGAGCAAGCGUUGUUCGGGUUUACUGGGCGUAAAGGGCGCGUAGGCGGCCACCGCAAGUCAGUUGUGAAAUCUCCGAGCUUAACUCGGAAAGGUCAACUGAUACUGCGGGGCUAGAGUGCGGAAGGGGCAACUGGAAUUCUUGGUGUAGCGGUGAAAUGCGUAGAUAUCAAGAGGAACACCUGCGGCGAAGGCGGGUUGCUGGGCCGACACUGACGCUGAGGCGCGAAAGCUAGGGGAGCGAACGGG